rnacentral:lncRNA from 1 species
GUCUGGGAUAUCAACCCCAGGCUUGUGUUAGCUGGCUUCUGUAACAUCCCCUAUUGGCAAUGUUAUUGCCGAGAUAUUGCCAGUGGUGGGACCAGUUAAUUGCAAGUCUAUAAAGUGUUGUAUAUAAAACAUUGACUUGAAGUCUGAAGGUGGGAGGCAGCUCAAAUAGGAAAGGGAAAAACAACUUAAUAAUAUUGACCUUCAAGUGUUUUAGAGCCAAUUGUAAUAAUAGUCAUUACCAUACAUUCAUAAAGUGAUGCAAAUUACAAACUAGUUGCCUCACUGGACCUGAAAGAAGUAAUCCUCUAAGUAAAGAACAGAAACAACACAACAAAAUUCUAGGGUAAUUUCUAUCCUAUUGUGCAUCUUCUCAGCUGUAAGCUCCCUGAAAUUAGGAAUUGAAUUUAUCUUGGAUAAGAAUUUAUCUUAUCUAUUUAUUCUCUUUGCAGCAUGCAGCACAAAGCUUGACGUGGAUUCAUUCUAAAACUUUGUUGAGCAUGCUAUAUGCUCAUUGCUCUAGCUACUAGAGAAUGGAAUAGUCACAAGAAAAUUAUGGCCCCUGCAUUCUUGACUAGUAAAAAUUAUUAGGAAGAAUGGAUAUUGAUCCAGUUAUUUUACCUGAGAUAAUGAUCCAGUGCUAUAGAAAUGUAUUAUCUGGCUACAUUUCUGAGUGUGGGGUCAGGGAUGUUUUUCUUUCAAGAAAGUGAUAUUAAACUGUGACCAAAAGAAUAAGGUGUUAGCUGUUGACAUGGAGAAGGAAGGAAUAUUCUAGGCAGAAGAAAUUACAAGCAAAGUUCCUAAGCCUUGGAGGAACAAAGAAUAAAAGCAAGGCUCAUUUCACUGGGUCUGAAAGAAUAAACACAGGGACAGUAGCCAAGGAGUAAACUGGAAUUUUUAGCCAGAGGUGAGUUUAUGCAUGACCUCAGGAGUCCUUUAUGGACUUUAGAAUUCAUAAUCAGUUUGCAUUAAAAAGAUUUAAGCAGUGACUUGAUAUGAUGUAAUUUGUACUCACUAAAAGAUAAAUUUGAGCUGAAUAUAAAGAAUUGAUGAGAGUAAACCAUAUUGAAGAGGCAAAAUCGAUAAAGAUUUGCAGUAGUGAAAGGGAGAAGACACUGAAUAGGACCAGAGUGGUGACAAUGGUGAGUCUCCAGGGCACAGGCAAGUGAGAAAUAUAAGGAAUAGAAUUUGCAGGACUCAUUCUUUGGUGGAGGGAAGGAUGAGAGAGAAAAGGGGUAGAGCCAGUGAAGAGACAUACUUAUUUAGCAACUGAAGAAGGCAGCUGUCAAGAAUUCUUUUGAGAUUUGUGUGUCCUGAAAUAGAACAUGUGACAACUAAGUGAAUUACAGCUCAGCACAGUGCACCUAAAAUUACUGGAUACGGGAUAAGAAACAUUUUGUUAAACGUGGAUGUUUGGUUUAAGUGUAAAGAAAUUCUUCAAACACUAUAAACAAACAUAAAACUCAC